GAUGAAGAACGUAGCGAAAUGCGAUAAGUAAUGUGAAUUGCAGAAUUCAGUGAAUCAUCGAAUCUUUGAACGCACAUUGCGCCCGCCAGCAUUCUGGCGGGCAUGCCUGUUCGAGCGUCAUUUCAACCCUCGAGCCCCCCCGGGGGCCUCGGUGUUGGGGGACGGCACACCAGCCGCCCCGAAAUGCAGUGGCGACCCCGCCGCAGCCUCCCCUGCGUAGUAGCACACACCUCGCACCGGAGCGCGGAGGCGGUCACGCCGUAAAACGCCCCACUUUCUUAGAGUUGACCUCGGAUCAGGUAGGAAUACCCGCUGAACUUAAGCAUAUCAAUAAGCGGAGGA
rnacentral:misc_RNA from 1 species